UCUCUCUGUCAAGCAUAGAUUAAGAAAAUAAUCUGAGAAAAAAGAAUGUGAAGUGUGAAGAAAUUACAGAACCCCUUUAUAAUAAUUUUAAUAAGGAGCCAUCGCAGAGAACCCUCUUGUAACCCAAGAAGACUAGACUAUAAUUCACAUUGAAUCUUAACUAGUAUAAAAAUAUCGUUGUGCAAUUUACUUUACUGUAAUUUAUCAUUUUGCAUCGCACUUAUAUUUACAGAUAUAUCAUAGUCAACUAUAUUGGUUAAGUAGUUGGCUAAAGGAUAUAAAAGUCAAAAAGAAUUUAACUUACCCCUUCUUGCACUUUCAUAACUUUUAGUACUUUCAUAGUUUUCAUUCUAUGCUGCACCAUUUAGGUUUAGAGUUCAACUCAAUUAUAAGGUCUUCCUCUCUUUUAUGUUUGUCAUGUUCUAGUAUACACAAACCAACCUCUCCAUCACCACAAGAAAAAAGAAUUGAAAUGUAUAUAUUAAUAAUUGAAAAUGCAUAAUAUCCGGGCUUCUUUCAUAUUUGAACUCAAUAUCGAUCAUUUCUUCGGGAAGAUAAAUGGGAAAACAAAUUACCAAUAUAUAAAGCAAACAUCUCUAAAAGCUUCCUUGUAUUAAGAAUGAUGUCCUAUAGCAUUUUGCAUUUGAGGACACGUUCAAAAUCAACUACUUAAACCCACCUACUACCUUUCAGUCAUUUCCUUAUCAGCUUGAGAAGGAGUCUUGUCCUUUUUUGUCCUCAAAGAUUACCAAAAUUUUCUAUAGACUCUUGCCCUUGGUUUUAGGGGAAGAAGAAUUUAUAUCUAUAUCAGUAGGAACAUCAAUCCAGGGAGAGCACAUACACAGGGGGAGAGAAUCCCCAAGCUCAUAUCAGGGAAGUAGCAUAAGUUGAUCACUAAUUAAUGUUCUACUUAUCAUUAUCAAAAAGGGACAGAUUGUUAGCCUUGCUUUAUUGAUGACUUCACUUGUGAAAUUGCAGAAUUAUACUGAUGAAGGUAAAUAUACUUGCACAAAAAGAAAAACGAAAAGAAGGAUAAUGGACACAUAAGGAAAAGGAAGACAAAAAGAUUACAAGGAAAGAAGAAUCAAUCCAGAGUUGGAAGAUAGCGACUUACAAGGAAAGAAGAAUCAAUUUUGGUGAUUCAACUAAUGAGGAAUCUCGCAAGCACAAAUCAAACACUUGAUGGGGUUUUUGACUAAGAUUAUUCUAAAUCAAAGCAAACCACAAAGAAAUCAUAUAUGCGAUAAUCAAGCUGUAUCUUGGAAGGCUCCCAACUUUAUUCUUGGAAUAUCUUUCAAGGAUCAAAUCUCUUGGGUUGUCAUCUCUCUGUCAAGCAGAUAUUAAGGAAAUAAUCUCAAAAAAAAGAUUGUGAAGUGUAAAGAAGUCACACAACCUCUUUAUAACAAUUUUAAUAAGGAGCCAUCACAGAGAGCACUUUUGCAACCCAAGGGGACUAGACAAGAAUUUACAUUGAAUUUGAACUAGUAUAAAAAUAUCGUUGUUCAAUUUACUUUAUUGCAAUUUAUCAUUUUUAUUGCACUUAUAUUUACAAAUAGUACCAUA